CGGGAGCUUUUGCAUACGAGCCAUUACCUGGUAAAAGAGACUUUUCAUCUCUGAUUAAGAAUCUUGAGAAGGGGCCAUUAUCCUAGAUUAUCCAGUGGGCCAAACGUAAUCACAAUACUCUUUAUAAAAGGGAAGCAAGAGAGCCACAGUCAGAAAGAAAGAUUCGAUGAUGCCACCCAUGUGAUGGAGGAUGGGGCUAAGAGCUAAUAAAAGUGGGUGGCCUCUAGAAGCUGGAAAAGACAAAAGAACCAAUUCUCCUAGAGCAUGCACAAGGGAUUCAACAUAGACGACAUCUUGAUUUUAGCCCAGUGAAGCCUGUUUCACACUUCUUUCUGUCCUCCAAGACUUUAAGAUAUUAAAUUUGUGUUGCUUUAAGCUACUAUGUUUGUAGUAGUUUGCUGCAGUAGCGAUAGGAAUCUAAUACAGAUCUUUAGGAGCAAACAACUGCUAGAGUGACUUUUGUUUUAGUGUUAAGUAUGUGAAGCUAAUUCUGCUUUCCUCUGCAUCCUUAUAUGCUUACAAAUUUUUGUUGCUUUGCCUGCAGAAAUAGUCCCAGGCCCUUAUGCAACUUGGAAACUUUUCAACCCUUCAGAGCUAUAGUUCGUGAUCAGAUAACAAGCUGUGGCACCACAAUUUUUUAAAACUCUGGUUAUCUAAUGGAAAAUGCUUCCAAGAGUUGAUACAAUUUUCAGAAAAUAAUUUUAGAGAGUUAUAGCAUAGCAAGGAAUAUAAAAGACAAUUGUUCCAAGGCUUCUUGAGGAAUUUGUCCACAAAAAGCCCCCUGGUACACAGUUGUAUAUUCUUUGUUGUGGGUCCUUCUAGUUGUGGCAUGUGGGAUGCUGCCUCAGCGUGGUUUGAUGAGCAGUGUCAUGUCCGCGCCCAGGAUUCGAACCAACGAAACACUGGGCGGCCUGCAGCGGAGCGUGCGAACUUAACCGCUGGGCCACGGGGCCAGCCCCAAAAUGUUGAUUUUUUUUUAAAGCUUGUUUUGUUUGUAUAGAUAAAAUAAAAUUUUAAUUUAGGAAACUUAUUAAGAUUUUCCCAUUUAUAUGUGCUCCAUCCAAUGCAG
rnacentral:lncRNA from 1 species